ACUGCGCGAAGUAGAGAAUCUGCCGUCUACGCCCCCUUGCGGGCAAAAGAAAUGUGGAAGUUGGCAGUCCCACCGCGCAGU
rnacentral:ncRNA from 12 species